UUUAACGUCGGACUACGCAGCGCUCAAAGGUUUAAGCAAAAUGUUGUCAAGCUACUUAUACUUUUUAGUUUAGGAAAUGAUUAUAAAAGUCGACUAAACCACACGCUUAGACGAUCUAAGAAAAGUUAAACAAUAAAAGCUAAGAAAACGGUAAAUUUGUACAUCGUGAAAUCAUUUUAAAUUAGCUUUAAGAAAUACACGAAAUAAGCAGCAAGUCGUUUAGAGUUGUUGGUAGGCCUCAGCGAAUAAAGCAUUGAGCGUAAAGG
rnacentral:lncRNA from 1 species